GUUUUUAUAGCUUAUUUAGAGUAUUUCAGUGAAGUUGAAAAGGAAAUUUUUAUUUAAAAACA
rnacentral:tRNA from 1 species